rnacentral:rRNA from 1 species
GUCGACGAUGAAGCACCAGCUUGCUGGUGUGGAUUAGUGGCGAACGGGUGAGUAACACGUGAGCAACCUGCCCCGGACUUUGGGAUAAGCGCUGGAAACGGCGUCUAAUACCGAAUAUGCACCAUGAAGGCAUCUUCAAUGGUGGGAAAGAUUUAUCGGUCCGGGAGGGGCUCGCGGCCUAUCAGCUUGUUGGUGAGGUAAUGGCUCACCAAGGCGUCGACGGGUAGCCGGCCUGAGAGGGUGACCGGCCACACUGGGACUGAGACACGGCCCAGACUCCUACGGGAGGCAGCAGUGGGGAAUAUUGCACAAUGGGCGCAAGCCUGAUGCAGCAACGCCGCGUGGGGGAUGACGGCCUUCGGGUUGUAAACCCCUUUUAGUAGGGAAGAAGCCUUCGGGUGACGGUACCUGCAGAAAAAGCGCCGGCUAACUACGUGCCAGCAGCCGCGGUAAUACGUAGGGCGCAAGCGUUAUCCGGAAUUAUUGGGCGUAAAGAGCUCGUAGGCGGCUUGUCGCGUCUGCUGUGAAAACUGGAGGCUCAACUUCCAGCGUGCAGUGGGUACGGGCAGGCUAGAGUGCGGUAGGGGAGAUUGGAAUUCCUGGUGUAGCGGUGGAAUGCGCAGAUAUCAGGAGGAACACCGAUGGCGAAGGCAGAUCUCUGGGCCGUAACUGACGCUGAGGAGCGAAAGAGUGGGGAGCGAACAGGCUUAGAUACCCUGGUAGUCCACUCCGUAAACGUUGGGAACUAGUUGUGGGGGGCCUUUCCACGGUCUCCGUG